rnacentral:rRNA from 1 species
GACGAACGCUGGCGGCGUGCUUAACACAUGCAAGUCGAGCGGAGCGGCGAACGGGUGAGUAACGCGUGAGUAACUGCCCCCCUCCCUGGGAUAACAGUUGGAAACGGCUGCUAAUACCGGAUAGUGGGGGAUGACUCGCGUCCGAUCAGCUGGUUGGUUGGGUAGUGGCCUACCAAGGCGACGACGGGUAACCGGCCUGAGAGGGGGACCGGCACCAGUGGGAUGUGAUACGGCACAAACCCCUACGGGAGGCAGGAGUUGGGAAUAUUGCACAAGGGGGCAAACCAGGAUGCAGAAAUCCGCGGGCGGGAUGACGGCCUUCGUGUUGUAAACCGCUUUCAGCCAUGACGCGGUAGUGGCAGAAGAAGCACCGGCUAACUACGUGCCAGCAGCCGCGGUAAUAC